rnacentral:rRNA from 1 species
GAUGAACGCUGGCGGCGUGCCUAAUACAUGCAAGUCGAGCGAACAGAUAAGGAUCUUGCUCCUUUGACGUUAGCGGCGGACGUGUGAGUAACACGUGGGUAACCUACCUAUAAUUCGGGGAUAACUUCGGGAAACCGGAUCUAAUACCGGAUAACAUUUUGAACCGCAUGGUUCUAAAGUGAAAUAUGGUUUUGCUAUCACUUAUAGAUGGACCCCCGCCGUAUUAGCUAGUUGGUACGGUAACGGCCUACCAAGGGAACGAUACGUAGACGAACUGAGAGAGUGGUAGGCCACCCUGGAACUGGACCGCGGUCCAGACUCCUACGGGACGGACCAGUAGGGAAUCUUCCGCAAUGGGCGAAAGCCUGGCGGAACAACGCCGAGUGAGUGAUGAAGGGGUUCGGCGCGUAAAGACGUGUUAUUAGGGAAGAACAACUGUGUAAGUAAAUGUGCACGUCUUGACGGUACCUAAUCAGAAAGCCACGGCUAACUACGUG